GCUGCUAUGGUCUAACGGUAUGAUGCUCGUUUCCCAUCGGAGAAAAUCCGGUACCAAUCUGCGGGCGACGCGGGUUCGACUCCCGCUGGCAGCA
rnacentral:tRNA from 1 species